GAUGAACGCUGGCGGCGUGCCUAAUACAUGCAAGUCGAGCGAACGGACGAGAAGCUUGCUUCUCUGAUGUUAGCGGCGGACGGGUGAGUAACACGUGGAUAACCUACCUAUAAGACUGGGAUAACUUCGGGAAACCGGAGCUAAUACCGGAUAAUAUUUUGAACCGCAUGGUUCAAAAGUGAAAGACGGUCUUGCUGUCACUUAUAGAUGGAUCCGCGCUGCAUUAGCUAGUUGGUAAGGUAACGGCUUACCAAGGCAACGAUGCAUAGCCGACCUGAGAGGGUGAUCGGCCACACUGGAACUGAGACACGGUCCAGACUCCUACGGGAGGCCGCAGUAGGGAAUCUUCCGCAAUGGGCGAAAGCCUGACGGAGCAACGCCGCGUGAGUGAUGAAGGUCUUCGGAUCGUAAAACUCUGUUAUUAGGGAAGAACAUAUGUGUAAGUAACUGUGCACAUCUUGACGGUACCUAAUCAGAAAGCCACGGCUAACUACGUGCCAGCAGCCGCGGUAAUACGUAGGUGGCAAGCGUUAUCCGGAAUUAUUGGGCGUAAAGCGCGCGUAGGCGGUUUUUUAAGUCUGAUGUGAAAGCCCACGGCUCAACCGUGGAGGGUCAUUGGAAACUGGAAAACUUGAGUGCAGAAGAGGAAAGUGGAAUUCCAUGUGUAGCGGUGAAAUGCGCAGAGAUAUGGAGGAACACCAGUGGCGAAGGCGACUUUCUGGUCUGUAACUGACGCUGAUGUGCGAAAGCGUGGGGAUCAAACAGGAUUAGAUACCCUGGUAGUCCACGCCGUAAACGAUGAGUGCUAAGUGUUAGGGGGUUUCCGCCCCUUAGUGCUGCAGCUAACGCAUUAAGCACUCCGCCUGGGGAGUACGACCGCAAGGUUGAAACUCAAAGGAAUUGACGGGGACCCGCACAAGCGGUGGAGCAUGUGGUUUAAUUCGAAGCAACGCGAAGAACCUUACCAAAUCUUGACAUCCUUUGACAACUCUAGAGAUAGAGCCUUCCCCUUCGGGGGACAAAGUGACAGGUGGUGCAUGGUUGUCGUCAGCUCGUGUCGUGAGAUGUUGGGUUAAGUCCCGCAACGAGCGCAACCCUUAAGCUUAGUUGCCAUCAUUAAGUUGGGCACUCUAAGUUGACUGCCGGUGACAAACCGGAGGAAGGUGGGGAUGACGUCAAAUCAUCAUGCCCCUUAUGAUUUGGGCUACACACGUGCUACAAUGGACAAUACAAAGGGCAGCGAAACCGCGAGGUCAAGCAAAUCCCAUAAAGUUGUUCUCAGUUCGGAUUGUAGUCUGCAACUCGACUACAUGAAGCUGGAAUCGCUAGUAAUCGUAGAUCAGCAUGCUACGGUGAAUACGUUCCCGGGUCU
rnacentral:rRNA from 1 species